rnacentral:rRNA from 1 species
UUAAAUUGAAGAGUUUGAUCAUGGCUCAGAUUGAACGCUGGCGGCAGGCCUAACACAUGCAAGUCGAACGGUAACAGGAAGCAGCUUGCUGCUUUGCUGACGAGUGGCGGACGGGUGAGUAAUGUCUGGGAAACUGCCUGAUGGAGGGGGAUAACUACUGGAAACGGUGGCUAAUACCGCAUAACGUCGCAAGACCAAAGAGGGGGACCUUCGGGCCUCUUGCCAUCAGAUGUGCCCAGAUGGGAUUAGCUGGUUGGUGAGGUAACGGCUCACCAAGGCGACGAUCCCUAGCUGGUCUGAGAGGAUGACCAGCCACACUGGAACUGAGACACGGUCCAGACUCCUACGGGAGGCAGCAGUGGGGAAUAUUGCACAAUGGGCGCAAGCCUGAUGCAGCCAUGCCGCGUGUAUGAAGAAGGCCUUCGGGUUGUAAAGUACUUUCAGCGGGGAGGAAGGUGUUGUGGUUAAUAACCACAGCAAUUGACGUUACCCGCAGAAGAAGCACCGGCUAACUCCGUGCCAGCAGCCGCGGUAAUACGGAGGGUGCAAGCGUUAAUCGGAAUUACUGGGCGUAAAGCGCACGCAGGCGGUCUGUCAAGUCGGAUGUGAAAUCCCCGGGCUCAACCUGGGAACUGCAUUCGAAACUGGCAGGCUUGAGUCUUGUAGAGGGGGGUAGAAUUCCAGGUGUAGCGGUGAAAUGCGUAGAGAUCUGGAGGAAUACCGGUGGCGAAGGCGGCCCCCUGGACAAAGACUGACGCUCAGGUGCGAAAGCGUGGGGAGCAAACAGGAUUAGAUACCCUGGUAGUCCACGCCGUAAACGAUGUCUACUUGGAGGUUGUGCCCUUGAGGCGUGGCUUCCGGAGCUAACGCGUUAAGUAGACCGCCUGGGGAGUACGGCCGCAAGGUUAAAACUCAAAUGAAUUGACGGGGGCCCGCACAAGCGGUGGAGCAUGUGGUUUAAUUCGAUGCAACGCGAAGAACCUUACCUGGUCUUGACAUCCACGGAAGAAUCCAGAGAUGGAUUUGUGCCUUCGGGAACCGUGAGACAGGUGCUGCAUGGCUGUCGUCAGCUCGUGUUGUGAAAUGUUGGGUUAAGUCCCGCAACGAGCGCAACCCUUAUCCUUUGUUGCCAGCGAUUAGGUCGGGAACUCAAAGGAGACUGCCAGUGAUAAACUGGAGGAAGGUGGGGAUGACGUCAAGUCAUCAUGGCCCUUACGACCAGGGCUACACACGUGCUACAAUGGCGCAUACAAAGAGAAGCGACCUCGCGAGAGCAAGCGGACCUCAUAAAGUGCGUCGUAGUCCGGAUUGGAGUCUGCAACUCGACUCCAUGAAGUCGGAAUCGCUAGUAAUCGUGGAUCAGAAUGCCACGGUGAAUACGUUCCCGGGCCUUGUACACACCGCCCGUCACACCAUGGGAGUGGGUUGCAAAAGAAGUAGGUAGCUUAACCUUCGGGAGGGCGCUUACCACUUUGUGAUUCAUGACUGGGGUGAAGUCGUAACAAGGUAACCGUAGGGGAACCUGCGGUUGGAUCACCUCCUUACCUGAAAGAAGC